rnacentral:lncRNA from 1 species
UCCUGAUGGAUAAUUGGUCCAUUUGAAUCUGGUCAAGGGAAGGCUGGCUCCUUAUUGGCUAGCUAAAGGCUCCCAUGAAUCUGCCCACUUCUUUUGCUAGAUACAUGGUCUCCUUUUGCUUUUACUUUACAGCAAGAGACUCUCCUUUCCAGCCUGUCACUCGCCAGCCUCUCCUUUGUCUUCUUCUCUUAAGAGUUUCACCAGUGCCCUAUUUUUGCACCAACUUCAAAUGUGCUCAAAUGGUUGACUGGUGAACUUUCGGGAUGUCUCGGUCCGUACGGAUCCGUACGGUCCGUACAACGUCCGUACCAAAUCCGUACAGCCAGUCCCUAAGUUUGCACACUCGCCCAAAUACUCUUCUAAGUCCCUCCUGGACUUGGCCCUAUCUUUGCACCACACUUCCAUCUUCUCUCUAACUCCUUCACAGCCUUCACAUGAUCAGUCUAAGUCUUUCCUAGACUUAACUUCACAAGAUAACUACUUCAGAACACUUCUGAAGCUUGAUUGAACUCUUCUGGACAUCUUCUAGAGCUUGCCCUAUUAUUGUACAAGCUCUAUCUUCUCUUCAGUUCAACACUCC